rnacentral:pre_miRNA from 1 species
CACGACGUUUCGGGCGGACGCGCUUAUUCAAGUAAUAGACGUGAAAGACGGCACGUCUAUUACUUGAAGAAGGGCGUCCGCCCGAAACGUCGU